UAUCCUGGCUCAGGAUGAACGCUGGCGGCGUGCUUAACACAUGCAAGUCGAACGAGAACCAUUGGAUCGAGGAUUCGUCCAAGUGAAGGUGGGGAAAGUGGCGGACGGGUGAGUAACGCGUGAGCAAUCUGCCUUGGAGUGGGGAAUAACGGCUGGAAACAGCCGCUAAUACCGCAUGAUACAGCUGGGAGGCAUCUCCCUGGCUGUCAAAGAUUUAUCGCUCUGAGAUGAGCUCGCGUCUGAUUAGCUAGUUGGCGGGGUAACGGCCCACCAAGGCGACGAUCAGUAGCCGGACUGAGAGGUUGGCCGGCCACAUUGGGACUGAGACACGGCCCAGACUCCUACGGGAGGCAGCAGUGGGGAAUAUUGGGCAAUGGGCGCAAGCCUGACCCAGCAACGCCGCGUGAAGGAAGAAGGCUUUCGGGUUGUAAACUUCUUUUGUCAGGGACGAAGCAAGUGACGGUACCUGACGAAUAAGCCACGGCUAACUACGUG
rnacentral:rRNA from 1 species